GCAACCGGCUGCGGUGGGUUUGUGUGGUGUGGACGGUUAGUUCUUUUUGUUCUUCCCAAUAAUAUUUGCUGCUGUUCAUUGAUUGGGUCCUGGCUGCCUUUAUGAGCUGUAACACUCACUGUGAAGGUCUGCAGCUUCACUCCUGAAGCCCACGAGACCAGGAACCCACCAGAAGGAAAAAAUUCGGGAUAUAUCUGAACAUCAGAGGGAGCAAACUCCGGACCCACCAUCUUUAAGAACUGUAACACUCACUGUGAGGGUCUGCAGCGUGUUCUUGAAGUCCGGGAGACCAAGAACCCACCAAUUCCGGACACAGUGCUUCCUCUGCGGAACUUCAUCGCGGGUUCCCCAGGACUGCCCAGGCCUCCCCAGGACUGCACAGGCCUCCCCUGGGCCGGCGGAGCCGCUCUCACCUUCCACACUUCGCCGCCCUCCUGCGCUCAGGCAGCAUUCUGGACACGGGAUGUACAGUCUGUCUUGAUUUCUCACUUUCCUUUGGCCCAUGGGCAGCCUCGGCAGGAGGAAGGAGGACAGAGGAGGAACAGAUUCCUCUCUGCCCUAGGGCCCAGCGUCCUUUAUUGACCUCUGGUUCCCAGGCCUGGUGCCCUCCUUCUCCUCUUUGCCCUCUGUCAUUAGCCCUGGGGUCCUGCCCAGCCCCUAGGCUUUCCCCAUUCCUCUUCUCCACCUUUGUCAAUAUCCCCCUCACCAAAUCCUACGCCACUCUGUUGGGCUGUGCCCUCUGUUUCCUGCAAGCACUCAAGGCAGACAUACAGUCACAGCCUUAUCACUCACUUACAUGAUGUCUUCAGCUCUCACUGAGUAUUGAUACAGAAAUAGCGCAUUUGAAAAGGUCUCAACAAUCUUUUGGGAAGCUCUAAUUAAAUGCCUCAGGCGUCACAUUAAUCAAUAUUUUUUUUCCAAGGUACCAAGCUACCAAAGUGACCAUAUCUUCUGUAUACAGCACUGAGUGAGGCAUUCUUGGUUCAGCCAACUUAUAGCCAAAGACAUGUUCUACAGAUGUAUUGUUGGCACAUAUUGUUUUUUUUUUUUUUUGUCAGAAAAAUAGAAUUAUGCUAACUCAUUGUGCUUUAGGCUGGCUUCUGGGCACGGGAGACACUUGACCUAUUGCAGGCACCUGAUAGCAUCUCCUAUUAUGCUUGCCUCCUAUUCUAGCUAUUUCAUUUUUAUUUUGCAACCGGCCUCAAAUUAUUUUAAGAUGAGAGACCUCCCAAAGAAAUGGAUUAAUCCCAUCCUGACUGUCUCUUUUUGAGACAGAUUCUUUUUCUGCUGAAGACAAUAGCUUUUCUCUCUCCUUCAGUUGUGUUAGAGCAAAUGCGAUCAUUGAAAUAGGAAGAUUAAUAUUCCUUCAUGGUCAGAAAGAUUAACGCCUAGCCUUUUAGUUCCCUGCUCAGAAUUUUGGGGCUUUGCAGUGAGGUAGAACAAUAGACUGAUGAAAAUGAUAAUGACUGUCAGCUAAAACAACGCAACUUUGCUUUUUUCUCCGCUGCACGGAGAUUAAUGGCUUAAACCAAAACUUGAUUAUGAACCAAAUGUAUAAGAGUUCUGGACUCUUAUUUCAAUAUGUUUUUUAUGAGAAAGUGAUGCUUGACUGUUAGUAACUUCUUGCUUCUUUUCCCACCAUACCGCAUCCCCCAAGCUCCCACAAAAUACCAGGGCUGUCCCUCAUGUCAGACAGGAUUUCAAGUUAACAUAAGAGUUGUGAUUUUUGGAAUGCAUUUCUUAGACUCGUUCAAGAGGGUUAAAAAAAUCCAGGUAUGCAUGCCGUUUAGGAUAUUUAAUCUCCUUCCACUGAAUCACUAUAAAACCAGUGCUUUAUAACUUUUAAAAUAAAUGCUUAGUUUCACAUCAAAAAGAAAAUAUUCCAAAUAAAUAUAAUUUGGGUCACAGGACCAACUUAAAAUACCAAUUAUGUUUUUUUUUUAAUUUCCCUCCAAAUACUGAUUGCUGAUUCCUACAUUCCUAGGGUAUGAAGAGGACAGAAAUCAAACCUGUCUUUGUUAUAUAACAUGUGGGGCUUAACCCUUACUGAAUUAUCUUGGAGGCAUUUUAUAGUUAUAGAUUUCCUCAUGCUGGAAUUGAAGAAAACUGGUCGAAGCUUUGGAAGCCCAGGUUCUGCCAUGUGAGGUGGAAAAUUAUUCCAUCUUUCUUCCCCUGGAUGAGAACCUCAUGUAGCAUCAAUGGUUUCCCAGAUUUUUUAGUGGAAAAGCUUUUCUUCAAAGAAAUCCUUAAAAAAUAUAUUUGUCAAUUAGAAAAACUAACUAAUUUAAAAAUGCUUAUGAAAGCCAAAUACAUACAACUAAUAUAUUUGGAUUUACUAUGAUUUUAACAGACUUGUGAACCAAGAGUACAUCACACUCCCCUACCACACUCCCUCCAUCCUGCCUUCUGCUCCUACCACAUCAUCUGAAAAUUUUGGGGGUCUGUGGACCAGAAGAUGGAUCUCAUAUUUCCAGUUGUCUGUCGCUUUUGUUGAAGUUACCUAUCAAACAUAUACAACUGGUUUAGUAGGAAAACCAUAUUAAAUAAUAUGCAGUACAUCUAC